CCCCCCUUCCUUCCCAUUAUUCUUUGCCAAUGCUGCAUAUAUAAAAUUCAUAACUCUAGUCUUACUGUCUGUAAUAUUUUUCUCCUUUCAUUUUUGUAUUUUACGUUAUGGUUUUAUUUUAAUCAAGGAAAGUUUGUCUAAUCUAUUCUCUCUUGCAUCCUCUGAAAUAUUUUUAAAGUGCAAUUUCUGUGUAUUUUUUAAUUUAUGAUAAGAUUUUUCAUUGUUGCUAUGGUGACUACCUCAAGGAUGUCGAUAUCUUCUUAAGGAUGUUUCAUUGCUAUUUCUUGGAUGAUUUUUAUCAUUAUCCCAUACUUAUUUCCUCUGUUUGAUAUGAUGUAUACAGACACACCUUAUGUCCCUGCAUGACAACAAUCUCUGUCAGGGCAAGUUAUUUCCCCUUCGUGUUUAAUCAUUACUUAACAAAGUAAUAAGUAUUUAUACAUUUGAGAAAAAAACCAAAUUGUAAUAUGUCAAACAUGCAAGACUCUUAAAUUUAGAAAACAUGUAUUAAUUUAUCAGUUCAAAUGAAAAUUUGUGUAAUUAAGGGUAAAGUGACCAUUUAUUUUAAUAAAGUUACUGUUUUAAAUAUAAAAUUAAGAAGUCUAGAACAUGUAAUGUGUCAAUCCAUGUAAAUGAACAAUAAUUAAAUGACUCCAUUC
rnacentral:misc_RNA from 1 species